rnacentral:rRNA from 1 species
UACGUAGGGUGCAAGCGUUAAUCGGAAUUACUGGGCGUAAAGCGUGCGCAGGCGGUUUUGUAAGUCUGUCGUGAAAUCCCCGGGCUCAACCUGGGAACUGCCUUUGUGACUGCAUAGCUAGAGUACGGUAGAGGGGGAUGGAAUUCCGCGUGUAGCAGUGAAAUGCGUAGAUAUGCGGAGGAACACCGAUGGCGAAGGCAAUCCCCUGGACCUGUACUGACGCUCAUGCACGAAAGCGUGGGGAGCAAACAGG